UCGGAUAUGGUGUAACGGCUAACAUUUGCGCCUCUCAUCGAUAGAUCUGCUUCAUGUGAUCGCGCAAGCUCGGGGUUCGAUUCCCCGUAUCCGAA